rfam:Nomascus leucogenys chromosome 17, whole genome shotgun sequence.
GUGCUCAAUUCAGCAACACAUAUACUAAACUUAGAACAGUUCAGAGAAGACUAGUAUGGCCCUUGUGCAAGGAUGACUUAAGAUUUGCAAAGCAUUUCGUAUUUUUU